GCUUCUAUCUGUAUUAUUUAGGAGCUAUUAUGGAGUCUGUGGGGGGUACUCAGGCUUAGAAUUAGCUGCAUGUGGGGGUGCAUCUCAGGCCUGUACAUUACUAACAGCAUGACACUGAGGGAAGUAUUUCUAUCAGUCAGAGUCCUGAAGGGAAAGAGAUGGUAUUCUAAUUUAGGUCACUGGGAAGAUUUUACUAUUUACAAAGGUGUCUUCAGUGUUUGAGGGGAAAAAAAAAGUCAGCAUGGGGCACUACUGUAUGUCAGGGACGGCUAUGGGGCUAAAAGAGAGAAAUUAUGCAUGGAGCUUGGCACGUAGUAGGGUUGCCCUGGUUCCUCCGCUACACCUGACAACUCAAAGGCUCCAGAGAGCCAAUUCAUAUGGUCAGCCUGCAAAAGAGUGCCACCCCAGAUGACAGAUCCUAUAAACCCAAGAAGACCUGCCGAGCUUCCUCCCUCUGAAAAGUUUUUUUUUGUGUGUGUAAGAACCAUGUUGGAAGACCUGGAGCAUGUCACAUCAACUGCCUAGGGAAGAAUUAGUCAUUAAAUUUGCAGACGGUGAUAAGGCAGGCUAGGAAAAAUCAUAUUUUUAAUAGCUUUUCAGAAUGCAAUUGUUUCCUUCACUGGUCUGUGUCUGAAGCUUUGAUGGGUGUUGUUAGUUCCUUCAGGCUUCCUACAGGGGCAUUGCUGCCUGCUGUUAUCUUUGGUUGACUUGCUGUGAGCUGCUUGAGUGUCCACUCCAUGGAGAACUAUAGGGGGAGCAAGAACAAUCAUCUCUCCCGAACCAGGUUGCCAUCCGUUGGCACGUGUUGCCCAGCCUUAUACACAGUGUGAACGUGCCCAUGCCCACCAUGAGCAGCUACCUGUACCUGUGGUGUUUGACAGACUGGUUUCCUCUGUCAGGAGAAGGGACCUCUGGGAAUGACUGGGGGCCGGCAAAACUUGACUCCAUCAUUUUCUCCAAUGCAGUCACAGGAUGCCUUUCCGCCUUUGAGUACUGUGGGAAACCACAUGCACAGAGUUGAGCUGGAGGACGUUAUGAGAGGACGGCCUGUAACACUAUAGCUAGAUAUUGAAAGGUUACUGAACACUUGCCAGUAAUUUGUCCACCGGAUCAGCAGAACAAUAGAGACAUCAUUUGUAACCCAUUUCCCACACACCAAUGGUCUCCAACCUCCCCCCAAACUCUCUCUGCUUAGAUAAGAUCCAUCUAGGACGGUUCUUCACUUUAGAAUUUUAAGUAUAUCUUCUUGUUUCAAUAUAUAUCCAUGGCACACUGUGCCUGACAGGCAAAAACACAAAUGUUUUUUUUUAUUCAAUAGACAUUUUAUGCACACAAGAAAUUAAUCAGUAGCCGAACUACAAAUAGUAGGGAUUCAAUAAAGAAUGAUUGGAUGAACCUCAGAACAUUCUCAGAAUUACAAGGAUAUUGAUUCAGAGUACCUGCCCUUGGCUCUCCACCAUUCCUUCAGCCUUUGCCAAGUAAUUACUGGGUUUAACAAGAGAAAUUUAUGAGCAUUUCACUCUUUAUAGUUAGUAAGCUUUGGUCUCACCUUUGACUAUGAUAUCUUAUGAAGUUCAGGAGCCUUUGGGAAAAUCUAUAGAGAUGACCCCUUAAGAAAACCUUUGCCCCAAGGGAAAUAUCACAGGGCAUCUCAACCAGGCAGCAAGUUGUCAACUUUAAUAUUCCCUGGACACACAGCUCUUGAAGAGGCAGCAAGGGCUAGCAGGUUCCUCUUCCAGAAAUUCCAGAUAAAAAAUACCCUCAGAAAUGACAUUUUUAGGGGCUAGGUGGCUCAGU